ACGGGAAAAUAUUUUUCCCUUGACUUCUACCAUUCCAAAAGAUCGAAAGAGCCGUCUGGAUUGUCCUUUUCUAGUCCCUGUGACAAGUAAACUUGAAGAUCAUUUAGAUGGAAAAUUUCAUCAAAAUUAUCACCUUGAGAACCCCGGAACUCCGUCCACGAUCUAAGAGCUGUUAAGCCAGCAGCUCUUUUAGACGAUUGUGUUGUAGACGAAGUAGGGGUUGGAAUAUUUGGCCUAGCAUGCUCUAACGCCUG
rnacentral:lncRNA from 1 species